CUGCGCGCUGCACCGCCCCGCCGCACGCUCCCCGCCGGGGCUCAGCCCCCCAAAACACUCAGCGCGCGCCCGGGGCAUUUAAAGGGACAGGCCCCCGCGCCGGAGCUGCCCCGCGGCCGCCUCUCGAAGGGGUCCUCGGUCGCCGCGCGAGGUCUGAAUUUGGGGACCCUCCCCUCCCCCGGCGCCACCUUCGAGUUACACCCGCCGAGAAGAGCGUCUGCGUCUGGAGCUCCGACAGGGUCGUCGUCAGCUUUGAGAGGGCGUGUUACUCGAUAGUAACUCCCAAAUGAAGAAGAGAUAAAAAGGAAGAAGCUGAAGGAUGAUGGGAGUAGGAAGGAAGAGAAGAAAAGAAGAAGGCAAAAACCAACCAACCGAACACCACUAUCACCACCAAAAAAAAGAGGUGGGAAAUGAACAGGGAUGAAAGUUUCAAGCAGGUGGCUUUGGGGCCAUGAGCCCAGCCCCUGGCCAGCGCACACCCCAGAGCUUUGUGGGAAUUACAAACAGGUGGACCUUCCUCGAGCUGGUGCAGACCUACCCAGGGCCGCCACGUGACUACCUGAGCACAGACCGGCUUCCAGUCCCCGGUGCGUCCUUGCUAGGCACCUCUGUGCCCACGGAAUGACACAAACGGACUAAACAACACAAUGAGAGGGCUUGGAAUGUUCUGCCUGGUGGCGUGGCUGUUUCUGUGCACCCCACGGAUCUCAUCUCUCUGUAGCCAAGGCCGUGCAUUCGCUCCCCCGUGGCACCUGGCACAUGGAAUUAACUCGCCAUUUCUAAAAUGAAACUGACUUGCAGUACAUGGAAACCAGACGGAAGGAGGGGCCCACAGGAACCCGUGCAUGGGCAGAGCAUCAGCAUCUCAGAGCACGAGAUCCGCAGAGUGUGGUAUCACCAGCGGGUCACUGCAAGCAAAGCGCACGUACUUGAAAACAAAAUCAGCAGCCUCACACAAUUAAGAGUUGGACCAACAUUGGAAGUUCUGCCAUCGAGUGGGCCCACAGAGCCCCAGAGAGUACAGCGGCUUCUGUCUACACACAGGCAGCGAAUCCCCAGAAGAGACACCUGGCUGAAUGCCUGUGGAAAGCUUCUAAGCACCAGAUUCCUGAAGAGAUGCCUCUUUCAGGUGUCUUCUGAUAAAAGACUUUUCAGUGGGAGGCCCAGGCUUGCCUCUGUGCAAGAACCAGAAUUCUGAGGAUGUUAGCUGCAUUAUUCCACUCAGGCUGCCAUAACAAAGUACCUCACACUGGGGGUCUUAACCAACAGAAGCUUAUUUUCCCACAAUUCCGAAGGCCGGAAGUCCAAGGUCAAAGCGUUGGCAGGUUUUGUGUCUUCUGAGGACUCUUUUUUGGGGGGCACCUGGUGGCUCAGUCAGGUAUGCAUCCAACUCUUGGUUUUGGCUCAGGUCAUGAUCUCGCAGUUUGUGAGUUAGAGCCCCACAUCAGGCUCCGUGCUGACAGUGUGGAGCCUGCUUGGGAUUCUCUCUCUCCCUCUCUCUCUGCCUCUCUCUAAAUCAAUCAAUCAAUCAAUCAAUCAAUCAAUCUCAGGACUCUUUUUCUCCUUGGCUUUAGACAGCUUCUCCCUGUAUCCUCACAUGGCCUUCCCUCUGUACCCGUCUAUGUCCGAAUCUCCUGUUCUUGUAAGGACACCAGUCAUGUUGGAGUAGGGGCCGCCAUAUGGCCUCGUUUUAUCAUAAUUACCUCAUUAAAGCUCUGUCUCCAAAUACAGUCACAUUGUGAGGCACUGGGAGUUAGGACUCCAACAUACGGAUUUGGGACAUUGAAGUAAACAGAGGGGUCGAUGCCACUUAAGGUUGUAACUUACCGGGCAAGACUAGAAGAGUGUACAAAAGAGGGUUUUUGAGGAGAAAAGGAGGAUUAUGUGCAGGAAAUGUCCUAGAGGCUCUGCUUAAUGAGACCUCACUGAAACCUCCUUAACCCUCACUUAAACAGCCACCUUACAAGGCAGUUUUUCAUCUUCUUGUGUAGUGUCGUUUCCUUUUUGACUUUUCUGUCUUAUUCUGAUGGUGGUUGUUAAGUCUGCCAAAGAACAUAACUUACACUUGUUCACUCCCAUUUUGAAGUUUUCUCUUGCAUUCACUGAACCGUGGUAAAAAUGCACGUAAGCCUGUCUGCUGAGUCCUAAUUUAUUUCCCUGAAAUGCAAUGGGAUACUCUUUAGCUUCUCCAAGUGAUGGCGUGGUCCCGCCCGGAUGUGAUGGAGCUACAGUUUGGGACUGGCAGUUGUGCGAGGGGGAAGCCCGGGGUUGUGCUUGGGCGUGUGCUGGGGGCUGGGAGGGAGGGGGGAGAAUUCUCUGCCGAGUUUUGUCUGAUGUAGUGAACAGAUCAGGCAUCUGCCUUGUAAGUUGAGACCCCGAGCAUUUAGUUGCUGCCUUAACCCUUAGUCCUACACAGACGCAAGUAUGACAUACCUGUGGGCCCAGCUACCUGAUUUGCAGGGCCCGAUGGGAGAUAAGGGGCAGCAGAGUGUUACAGCAAACGUGAGGUCCUUCUGAGCGUGGGCCCUGGGGGACUGCCCCCAUUACACGCCUGGGAAGCCAGCCCGUGUAAGGAGAAGGACUUUUCUUUUUUUUGUUGUUUUAAUUUUUAAACUUUAUUUAAAUCCAAGUUAGUUAACAUAUAGUGUCAUAAUGAUCUCGGGAGUAGAAUUUAGUGAUUCGUCACUUACAUAUAACCCGGUGCUCAUCCCAACAAGUGCCCUCCUUAGUGCCCAUCGUCCAUUCAGCCCCAAACCCCUUCAGCAACAUUCAGUUUAUUCUCUGUAUUUAAGAGUCUCUCAUGCUUUGCCUCCCUCUGAUUUUAUCUUAUUUUUCUUUCCCUUCCCCUGUGUUCAUCUGUUGUUUCUUAAAUUCCACAUAUGAGUGAAAACAUAUAAUAUUUCUCUUUCUCUGACUGACUUAUUUCACUCAGCAUAAUACCCUCUAGUUCCAUCCACGCUGUGGCAAAUGGCAAGAUUUCAUUCUCUUUGAUCCUGAGUAUUAUCGAGGAGGACCUUUCAGUUGAUUAUUAUCCCCCUCCUAGAUUAGAAGAUCGUCUAUCUUCACUUGGCGAAUCUGCAUCAUUCACUUCAGGUUGCCAUUAAACCUUUCUCAGCUGGAUUUCUCAGAAGACGCCACACUUUCGGGAAAAUCUGGCCUUUGGCUCCAUGGUUACUACUCUUAGUUUGCUUGAUGCUGGGGCGCUGGGGGUGAGGUUUGGAUUCCUGAUCAUAGCUAACGCCCUUCCGUCUCCUUCUGCUGCCCGGCUCCUCCUCUCAGAGGUCCGCAGCUUGUCUAGGAGCAAAGUUGUAACAUCACCGGGAUUCUGUCACUCCUGCAGAAGAAGGGGGAGGAGCCCCGGACAAGACCCCUGAGGCUCGCAGGAUGCCUGGUGUGUGUUUUCUGGUCAUAGUGCCCUUCUGUUUCUUCUCUAGUCAAGGCUUCUUGGCUAAGGGGUUCUGAGUGAGGCAGGUGCCAGCCCUCCCCCGUCCCUGUGGACACUGCCUCUCUUGUCCUGGCCUCACAUGGACCUCCCCGUGCUGUCAGUUCAGCCUGCUUCUCCUCCUGAUCCCCUUGUCUGUUGGUUUCUGAUCAAUAUGGGCAGUACACAGUUGCAUUAGUCCCGGGGUUGCUCCCGGGGGCUUGUAGACACCGAGGGGUUUCAUUCCAUCGUACUCAGGCUCCCACGAGCUACACCAGAAGCGAAGCAGAACUAUCUUCAGUCCUGGAGGAGGAGUGUAACCCCCAACCCUUUUCAGUGAACCACCAAGAUACAUCUUGAUCCAAGGGGCACCCCCCUUCUUUCUGCGGAGUUAGGGAAUAUGGUGGGGGGUAUGUGGUACCAGGGAUAUAUGGCGUGUGCACAAUGGUAAACCACCGCUUCAGGAGGAAAUCCUCUGCUCUGCGUAACCCAGCUGCUGUCUCUGCUGUCUCCGAGACGACGUGGACUCUGAGGGGCCCAAGCAGAUGGUUGGGGCAGUGAGGACCCGAGAUCUGUAGGGGUCCCUGGGCCAGAAGUCAACACACCUGAGUUCUGGUCCCGUGAGGUAGGCAGAAUAAUAGUCGCCCGAAGAUGUUCAAUUCCCCAAACCUGUGAAUGUUACCUCAUGUGGCAAAAGCGUCUUUGCCUAGGUGAUAAAGGGUUGUGAGAUGCGAAGAGACGCCUGGGUUACCCAGGUGGGCCCAGUAUAAUCACAACUGUCUUUAUAAGGGGCGGGGAGGUAGGAGGAUCAGAGCCAGGGAAGGAGAUAGGAAGAAGGAAGAAGUUGAAGCAGGGUUGUGGUUGCUGCCUGGAGUCACAAGCCAAAAAACAUGGGUGGCCCCUACAAGUGGGAAAAGGCAAGGAAACAGGUUCUCCCCUAGAGCUUCCAGAAGAAAUGCAGUUUGCCGACACCUUGAUUUUACUGCAGUGGAACCCAUUUGGACUUCUGACCUCUAGAAUUGUGAGGAAGAGGAAGAGGCCGAGAUCUCUCUCUCUCUCUCUCUGUCUUCCGAGGACACCCUGAGAAGGCAGCUACCUGUAAGUCAGGAAGAACGCUGUCACUAGAAUCCGAUCAUGCUGGCACCUUGAAAUUGGACUUCCAGCCUCCAGAACGAGACGUCAACGUGAAGGAGCUAAUUUUCCCACUUGGAGGAGUGGAUCACAAAGGUUAGUUGGAAGAAGGGUUUGAAAAGUAUCUGUAAAAUCGUUAUGGCUGUUCCAUUUACCUAUAUUCCCUCUUUCCGAUUUACAGGGUUGUUUUAGUUUAAAAAUUUUUUAAAUGAUACUCUCAGGUUCUUCCCCUCUAAAGAUGUACAUUCCCACCCUGUAUCUCCUCCAUAAGACAUGUGUACCAGGACACACCCCAUAAUCCCAGAGGUGGAACCCUCCAGUGCCAGGAUGUAUUUUACUUUCUCUGGCAUAUAACAAGAUCAAUCGCAAACCAUGGUCCCUUCUUAAAAAUCUAAGCCAAACGGUGGCUUGGAUGAAGGAUUCACCAGUGACCGGUUUGCAGUGAUUAGGUCUCACAGAUAAAACCCCAUCUGUAACUUGGAAGCCUAAUUCAAUCGUUCACGUAAUUAACAUCUCCGGGCUCGCAAUGCCGACCAACCGUCCUCCUGGCUUACCUCAGAACAGGUCUGAAAUACUUCGGCAUGAUAAUCCGGGCUCUGCUCAUCCGUCAGCUCCUUUAAGUCAUGCCCAGAAGAAAAUACAGGCCCCUCCGCUACAAAUGUUUCCAGUUGAGAAAAGAAAAAGAAGACGUAAAUGGCCAGCUCUGGGACUUGUCUACCCGGUAACUAGCAAUAGUAUGGAUGCUGUGGACACUCAGAGAAAGUUAAUGGCUCAAUUUGGAUAAGAAUAAUUCUAUUUAGCUUGAAAAGUAACCGAGUAAGGUGAGGCAUCUGUUCCUAAAGGUCUCUGGAGGGACCAGUGGAAACAUGUAAUUCCAGCAAGGAGAAGGCUCAGGAACCAAGGCGAGUGUACGUACUCUUUCCAGAUUUAUCCCUCUGGUUUCACACUUUUGUUGCUGGACUCGGUCUGGCCUGAGCGUAUAGACUCAUAUAGGCCCGUCAAAUCCAGCGUGCCUCCCACGUGUCCCUGUCCUUUGUCUACAGACAAUGGCCACCCACACAGGUUCGAAUCCAGGAAGGGCAGAGUGUGAGGAGAACCCCCUUAUUUUUAUGAGGGAUCUGAGGACGUGGUUUUAUUGUUACUGUUGUCAUUAGCAACAAUGGUGACAUGUAAUCUCACUGAUAAGCUGCUAACACUUUCUUAUAUUUUCCUUUUGCUGUGGCUGCUGGGACAGAUGACAUUAUUCCCUUUAAACAAGUGAAAAAAUUGUGUGGUUCAGAGUUUGCUGCCUUGCUGCAUCCAGGUUAUACCCCCAUGGCUGCAGGACAAUUUCCCUUCGUCGUAUAAAACGUUGAAAAUUUAUAUUCAACCACAGACAGGGAGGUAACGUUCUGAGUGUCUGCCUCCAGAAACACCAACUCUUAAUUUUUAAAAAAUAGUGCCUCAUAGGGCAUCAUGUGUUUUAUUUUUCUGUGGUUGCUUUAAAACGCUGGCAUUGCUGUUAUUUAUACCACUGUCAUCCUCACUAGAUGAUCUGGCAAAAAUUCUUCCUGGAAAAAGAGCAAGGAAAGAAAUGAGCACAAUAUAGCAUGCUUUCUGGCACCACUGAAGAAGACCACAGAUCUCGGUUGAAAGCUUAGUUAAGAACCCAAAAGACAAGCCAACCAAGUGCCCCAAGCAGCCUGUCCUAGCCAACUAGGUUGUCUACCGAAAGGAUCAGUGAUUAAACCCAUCUCAUCAGGUCCAUGAAGAAAUCCGUUCUCUGACUUUGACGGGAAGACCAGCACAGCCAAGGAGGGUGGCAGUGGUGUUUUGUAUCCGACAAAAAGGAAAAGGCACAUAUUCUCACUGCGCGGUCAUCUUUGCUAUAAUUCCCACGGUUGACAGUGUCAGGAUCAAGGCCCCCACUGCACAUGAGUUUUCCAUAAUCAACGUUCUUGAAAGGAGCUUCAAAAACAAUCACCCCGUUAAGUGAGGGAACGCCCCAGAUAACCAAAGAAUUUUGAGAAACCUCUUCUGGGUACUGCAGAGCACUGAGGUUGGAUAUCAGAUAAAUACCUGAGAUGAUAAUGACUUUGAGGUCUUUGCUCUCCGCUUCGUGAAGAAGGUCACUUUGGAGAGAUUUCAGCAUCGCUAAUGACAGCGCGUUCCUCUUCUUUGGAUCACUCAAGACAAUGUUCCUGGGAAGAACGUUUUAUUGGGUCGAGCGUGAGUCAAAACAAAUGAGGACCUCCGUGAUCCCUUUCUAACCUGGGAGCUAUUUUUAAAACGCCAGUUAAAAGAACCAUGGGUGGCAAUUGAGAGGCUCUGCCCUCUAGAGUUACAGCUAAGUCGAAACAAGGAGACCAGCUGAAAUGUGGGCCGGGUUUUCUCCCUCCUUCCCUGGAUUGGUUUCUCUUUUUCUCUACGUUCGCUGUCAGACCCAUGACUGUCGCCAACACAGAAAGGGCAGUUGCGACAGUUCCCAAACCACUGCCCAUACUGAGAGGCGGUGAGGUUUGUGAGAAGACAGGGGUGGGCGCCAGGGGAAAUUGCCACAUUGUGGUGACCUUCGGCUUGUUUCUUCAAAAGAAUGAGGCCGGGGAAGGAGCCCAGAAUGAAAACACGGCCCCAAGUCUCCUCCCGUCCACCCCGUAGAGGAAGCAGUGCAGUUAUAGCUAUCGAUAUGCGUAUGGGACAGCAUUUUCCUGUUGUUUUUUUGUUCCUUACAGUGGCAUCCUGUAAUUCUGCAAAAUAAUUUAUGCUGAGAAUGGGCAAUAUGUGAAGAAGAAAAGGGCAGGCGCUUGCAGCAAGAAGGCUCUUCUGCACGUGUCAUCCGACAAAGAGCUGGCAUGCAAAGGUCUUCUCGCUAUUUUCAGGCAUCCCACAUGCUAAUUAAAAUGAGUGGUAUUGUCAUCUGGCUUCCCGUACACA